rnacentral:lncRNA from 1 species
CAGGGUCUUGUUGUGUUGCCCAGGUUGGCCUCAAGGGAUCCUCCUGCCUUGGCCUCCUGAGGUGCUGGGAUUCCAGGCAUACACCACUGCUCCCAGCCCAGAUCCUGUUUCCUCCCUGUGACAUUUCCCGCACUUGCUGCAGCCAUUUGCUUUCUUAGACAUCACAGAGUCCUAGCCCAGAAUCUGAUCAGAUGGUGGAAGGAGAACUUCCAGCAACAGCAUAGAGUGCCCUGCACUGAGGGUGCAAUUCCUCCCGGCUCUCCACAGGAUCUCAGGGACAGGCCCCGUGUCCUGCUGACCCUCUCAACAAGG